CUGACUUAAUUACUGAAAUCCCUAAAUUUAAAGCAAUAUCUUCUACAACUAACUUCUUAUAUUUACAUUUUAAUUACUAGUAAUAAUUUUUAAUUAUUUCCAGACAUAGUAUUCAGUUUGUGGGUAUGUAUGCAUCAGCCGCGGCACAAUAAUUGGGCUCGGAAAAGUUUUUAAGUAGGUAAUUGUGUUGAGUAAUGAUAUUGACAAUGUUGAAUAUUACUAGUAGGUUGAGGUCUUUCUAAAUUUCUAGUCACCUUACGUGAAAAAAUUUGAAUGUCAUUACUAUGAUGUAUUGCAAUUUGCAAAUGAACCUUCCUUUUUUUUUUUUUUUUAAAAUUAUUUUCUUUCCUCUUCAAUACAUACAUUAAGAACAAAAAACAUAUAAUUAAAACACAUAUUAGUUAUUUAUUAUACUACCAAACAAAUGUACCAAUAUUAGAAAAGGAGGGCAAAAUGUCUCAAUACUGCUGACUUAAUUACUGAAAUCCCUAAAUUUAAAGCAAUAUCUUCUACAACUAACUUCUUAUAUUUACAUUUUAAUUACUAGUAAUAAUUUUUAAUUAUUUCCAGACAUAGUAUUCAGUUUGUGGGUAUGUAUGCAUCAGCCGCGGCACAAUAAUUGGGCUCGGAAAAGUUUUUAAGUAGGUAAUUGUGUUGAGUAAUGAUAUUGACAAUGUUGAAUAUUACUAGUAGGUUGAGGUCUUUCUAAAUUUCUAGUCACCUUACGUGAAAAAAUUUGAAUGUCAUUACUAUGAUGUAUUGCAAUUUGCAAAUGAUGUAGAAGGGAGUGGAAUUAUUGAGGUGUAGCCACGAGGUGGUGACAUGUAUGGAUAGAAUUAUGAGGAAGCAACGCAUUUCUGGCUGCCCUUUUUAUCCUUUUAAAUCAACAACUAGUAGUAGCUAGUACACAUUUAUUGGAAUCUGGUGCCCAAUUGAAACACUAUUCCAUUCAUUUUUUUCUUUUAAUUGUUAUUAUUAUUCCGUUAGGUUAGACGUGAGGUGGAUCCAUAUAUAUUAUCAGGGACGGAUCUAUAUAUUAUAAUAUAAUAAUUCAAUGCUUACACAUUUCUAAGAAC
rnacentral:lncRNA from 1 species